UGUGAUCAUAUCUUACUGCAAUCUUGAGCCU
rnacentral:piRNA from 1 species